AUUGAACGCUGGCGGCAUGCUUUACACAUGCAAGUCGGACGGCAGCACAGAGAAGCUUGCUUCUUGGGUGGCGAGUGGCGAACGGGUGAGUAAUAUAUCGGAACGUACCGAGUAAUGGGGGAUAACUAAUCGAAAGAUUAGCUAAUACCGCAUAUUCUCUGAGGAGGAAAGCAGGGGACCUUCGGGCCUUGCGUUAUUCGAGCGGCCGAUAUCUGAUUAGCUAGUUGGUGGGUAAAGGCCUACCAAGGCGACGAUCAGUAGCGGGUCUGAGAGGAUGAUCCGCCACACUGGGACUGAGACACGGCCCAGACUCCUACGGGAGGCAGCAGUGGGGAAUUUUGGACAAUGGGCGCAAGCCUGAUCCAGCCAUGCCGCGUGUCUGAAGAAGGCCUUCGGGUUGUAAAGGACUUUUGUCAGGGAAGAAAAGGCUGUUGCUAAUACCGACAGCUGAUGACGGUACCUGAAGAAUAAGCACCGGCUAACUACGUG
rnacentral:rRNA from 1 species